UACGUAGGGUGCAAGCGUUGUCCGGAAUUAUUGGGCGUAAAGAGCUCGUAGGCGGUCUGUCGCGUCGGCUGUGAAAACCCGGGGCUCAACCCCGGGCCUGCAGUCGAUACGGGCAGACUAGAGUGCGGUAGGGGAGACUGGAAUUCCUGGUGUAGCGGUGAAAUGCGCAGAUAUCAGGAGGAACACCGGUGGCGAAGGCGGGUCUCUGGGCCGUAACUGACGCUGAGGCGCGAAAGCGUGGGGAGCAAACGGG
rnacentral:rRNA from 1 species